AGAGUUUGAUCAUGGCUCAGAACGAACGCUGGCGGCAGGCCUCAAACAUGCAAGUCUAGGGGGUGUAGCAAUACAUCACCGGCGGACGGGUGCGUAACACGUGGGAAUAUACCUUUUGGUUCGGAACAACGCAGGGAAACUUGCGCUAAUACCGAAUGUGCCCUUACGGGGAAAGAUUUAUCGCCAAAGGAUUAGCCCGCGUCCGAUUAGCUAGUUGGUGAGGUAAUGGCUCACCAAGGCUCCGAUCGGUAGCUGUUCUGAGAGGAAGAUCAGCCACACUGGGACUGAGACACGGCCCAGACUCCUACGGGAGGCAGCAGUUGGGAAUCUUGGACAAUGGGGGAAACCCUGAUCCAGCCAUGCCGCGUGAGUGAUGAAGGCCUUCGGGUUGUAAAACUCUUUCGACGGGGACGAUAAUGACGGUACCCGUAGAAGAAGCUCCGGCUAACUUCGUGCCAGCAGCCGCGGUAAUACGAAGGGGGCUAGCGUUGUUCGGAAUUACUGGGCGUAAAGCGCGCGCAGGUGGUCUUUCAAGUCAGUGGUGAAAGCCCGGAGCUCAACUCCGGAAAUGCCAUUGAAACUGUGAGACUUGAGGACGAGAGAGGUGAGUGGAAUUCCCAGUGUAGAGGUGAAAUUCGUAGAUAUUGGGAAGAACACCGGUGGCGAAGGCGGCUCACUGGCUCGUUUCUGACGCUCAGGCGCGACAGCGUGGGGAUCAAACAGGAUUAGAUACCCUAGUAGUCC
rnacentral:rRNA from 1 species